rnacentral:rRNA from 1 species
AACCCUUAUCGUUAGUUGCCAAGCGGGGUAAAAGCCGGGAACUCUAACGAAACUGCCGGUGUAAACCGAGAGGAAGGUGGGGAUGACGUCAAAUCAGCACGGCCCUUAUGUCCAGGGCUACACACGUGUUACAAUGGCCGGUACAGAGGGCAGCUACCUGGAGACAGGAUGCGAAUCUCGAAAGCCGGUCUCAGUUCGGAUCGGAGUCUGCAACUCGACUCCGUGAAGCUGGAUUCGCUAGUAAUCGCGCAUCAGCCAUGGCCGCGGUCGAAUACGUUCCCGGGCCUU